GCCUACGGCCAUACCACCCUGAACAUGCCCAAUCUCGUCUGAUCUCGGAAACUAAGCAGGGUUGGGCCUGGUUAGUACAUGGAUGGGAAUACCAGAUGCUGUAGGCU
ensembl:rRNA 5S_rRNA 5S ribosomal RNA